UUCCGGUUGAUCCCGCCGGACCUGACUGCUAUCGGAUUGAUACUAAGCCAUGCGAGUCUUUGCAGUAAUGCAAGGCAUACGGCUCAGUAACACGUAGUCAACUUACCCUAUGGACGAGGAUAAUCUCGGGAAACUGAGCAUAAUACUCGAUAGAUCAUAAUGCCUGGAAUGGUUUAUGGUUAAAAUGAUUCGUCGCCAUAGGAUGGGACUGCGGCCUAUCAGCUUGUUGGUGAGGUAAUGGCCCACCAAGGCGAUUACAGGUACGGGCUCUGAGAGGAGAAGCCCGGAGAUGGGUACUGAGACAAGGACCCAGGCCCUAUGGGGCGCAGCAGGCGAGAAAACUUUGCAAUGUGCGAAAGCACGACAAGGUUAAUCCGAGUGAUUUCUGCUAAAGAAAUCUUUUGCAAGUCAUAAAACCACUAGUGAAUAAGGGGUGGGCAAGUUCUGGUGUCAGCCGCCGCGGUAAAACCAGCACCUCAAGUGGUCAGGGGGAUUAUUGGGCCUAAAGCAUCCGUAGCCGGCUCUGUAAGUUUCCGGUUAAAUCCAUGUGCUCAACGCAUGGGCUGCCGAAAAUACUGCAUAGCUAGGGAGUGGGAGAGGUAGACGGUACUCAGUAGGAAGGGGUAAAAUCCUUUGAUCUAUUGAUGACCACCUGUGGCGAAGGCGGUCUACCAGAACACGUUCGACGGUGAGGGAUGAAAGCUGGGGGAGCAAACCGGAUUAGAUACCCGGGUAGUCCCAGCUGUAAACGAUGCAGACUCGAUGAUGCAUUGGCAUAUAGCCAGUGCAGUGUCGCAGGGAAGCCGUUAAGUCUGCCGCCUGGGAAGUACGUACGCAAGUAUGAAACUUAAAGGAAUUGGCGGGGGAGCACCACAAGGGGUGAAGCCUGCGGUUCAAUUGGAAUCAACGCCGGG
rnacentral:rRNA from 1 species